GAUGAAGAACGCAGCGAAAUGCGAUAAGUAAUGUGAAUUGCAGAAUUCCGUGAAUCAUCGAAUCUUUGAACGCACAUUGCGCCCGCUGGUAUUCCGGCGGGCAUGCCUGUUCGAGCGUCAUUUCAACCCUCAAGCUCUCCGGAGUUUGGUGUUGGGGCGCCUGGGGCUUUUCGACCUCAGGGCCCUCAAGUCCAUCGGCGGGACCGCCAGGACACUGAGCGCAGUAGUAUUAUUUCGCUCGGUAGGAUCUUCCACGGCGGGUCGAUCUGGCCGCUAAACCCCCCAAUUCUCACCAAAGGUUGACCUCGGAUCAGGUAGGAAUACCCGCUGAACUUAAGCAUAUCAAUAAGCGGAGGA
rnacentral:misc_RNA from 1 species